CUACGGGAGGCUGCAGGCGCGAAACCUUCACACUGUGCGAGAGCACGAUGAGGGGAUCCCAAGUGCUAGUUCGUAAGAGCUAGCUGUUUUUCUGUCUAAAAAACAGUGAGAGUAAGGGCUGGGUAAGACGGGUGCCAGCCGCCGCGGUAAUACCUGCAGCCCAAGUAGUGAUCGUUAUUAUUGGGCCUAAAACGUCCGUAGCCUGUUUGGUAAAUGGUUGGGUAAAUCGUGUGGCUUAACCAUACGAAUACCGGGUAGACUGCCAGACUUGAGACCGGGAGAGGUUGGAGGUACUACUGGGGUAGAGGUGAAAUUCUGUAAUCCUGGGGGGACCACCAGUGGCGAAGGCGUCCAACCAGAACGGGUCUGACGGUGAGGGACGAAGCCCUGGGGCGCAAACCGGAUUAGAUACCCGGGUAGUC
rnacentral:rRNA from 1 species